AUUGAUAUAAAAACAUAUAAAGACAUAUGCAAAAGUCUAUUUCACGAUCAAAAAUCAAUCCGGAAAGAUGAAAAUAAAACCUGUUAUGGUUGUGUUAGUUGUGCUGGUGUUGGCUCUCUGUGUGGUUCGUGCAAGUUCUACUCAGAACGCGCAACAGGAAGAACCGGAUAAUGUAGAUGAUAACCACAGAAGCAGAAUUGGUGGCAUAUAUCCCGUGGGGCCCCGUACUAGGCCUCCUCCAACAAACGGAUAGAUGAUUGUAUCCCGCAGUCAUCGAUAUCCAGAUGUGAAUUAAACUUAGAAAUGUUAUAGUCAAAACAAAAUAUCCGAUGCUAUUAUUUCCUGUGUUUGAAACGUCAAUUUAACAUUCAAAUCUAUAUUUAGAAAUACCUGUAUCCUACUAGCAAAAGGAGACAAGAAAGAUCACCGUUAUCGAAAACAUACAUAAUCAAAUAAACCUUAAACUGCCAAGUGUAUUAUCUAAAGUUGUGUGGAAACGCACCUGUUAAAUCUGAAUAAUUCAAUAUAUGCUAGUAAAUGUUAAUUUCUGUAUCAAUAUAUCCAGGAACAAGAUUAUGUAUAUUC